UACGUAGGGGGCUAGCGUUGUCCGGAUUUAUUGGGCGUAAAGAGCGUGUAGGCGGCCAGGUAGGUCUGCUGUGAAAACUCGAGGCUCAACCUCGAGACGUCGGCGGAAACCAUCUGGCUAGAGUCCGGAAGAGGAGAGUGGAAUUCCUGGUGUAGCGGUGAAAUGCGUAGAUAUUGGGAAGAACACCUGAGGCGAAGGCGGGUUGCUGGGCCGACACUGACGCUGAGGCGCGAAAGCCAGGGGAGCAAACGGG
rnacentral:rRNA from 1 species